UGACAGGAAGGAAUUUUCGUGUCACUAGAGAAAUUAAAGAUUUUUAAAUAAUGUAUUUGAUGCUGUGAAAAUAGUUUGAAUUUAAUCGGAUAAAUAGUAUCUCUUGAGCGCAUUGGAACCAUACUAUACAAAAGGAUACCAUUAUGAUGCAGAAAUAAAACAUAUAGCGAAACGGGUCAGCUUUAUAUCGAAGAAAUGCAAGAAUCGCCAAAUUAUGUUAAAUUUCUUGCAAUUCAUGUUUCGCCGGAUGGAGAGAUAGAUGAAAAUAUUGAAGUUAUUUCGACUCAGUAUGAGGUUAUUGAUGCAUCAAAGCCAGCACUAAGAAAACACCGGAAGUCAAUUUUAGACGAUUUGAAAAUUUUUCAUGAUGAAGCGGCUAGGAAAAGACUUGCCCGUGGAAUCAUGCUCAUUGGGAGUAUUUUUAUUUUGCUCAGUGGAAUUUUACUGAUAGUUUCAUUAAAUAUGUCAAAGGACAUCGACGAAGUAGUGCGAAACUCCAAUGAAUUCCUGCGAAAUAAAGUCCACAAGUCAACGCCGGCGCCAAAACAGUCAAUAGAUAUUACAGAUUACAACACGACGUUAAGUUGACAGAACACAACACUGUAAAGGAAUGUUCAUAGUCGUUUCUCAGGGGAUAAAACGGCAUUAUACUACGAACUAAAAUAUGCAAAGCAUAGCAUUGGUGAUUUUUCGACCGAAAAUAUGAUAAGAAAUACAAAUAAUUGAGAUCUAAAUAAUCAUGAGAUGUGAUUGCCAAUAUUUUACAUUAGAUCGAUCUGUAUUGAUGUGUAAUAAAUGGUUUUGUUUUCGCAAACAAUUGAAGCAUUAUCGAAAAAAGCAAAACUGAUAGAUAGAGUUAUCAUAGUUUUACAAUGAAAAAUUAUAUUAUUCAUAUCUUAAACAUGUAUGUGUAUCUUUAAAAUGUUUCAACAGAAAAAUCACUGUUAAAGAAGCAUUCAGUCCAUUGAAGCCUAUGAUAACAUAUACCGAACAUAAUAAACUUGAUUAUUUUCCUAUAGAUCAGACUCAGAGAGUGCUAUAACGCCGACUGUAAAGGUAUCAAAAGCGGUUUAAAUCUAAUAAUAAAACAUCAAUAGUCAUUCUACAUUAACUUUUGGAAGAUACAAAUAAAUGAAAAUGUAUUUGUGAAUUUCAGCUCCGAACAUCUAAAUACCACAGAUUGUAUAUGUAUAUUUUGGCAUUCUUUAUGUUUUUUACAGGUUUUUUUUAAUUCUCAUCUCCUUUGUUAACGAGUUUACUGUAUAUAUUCAGUGACCAUAGUGCAAAUGGUAAAUAAUCAAUGAGAUCAAGUAUCGUGACAAAAAAAGCAUAAGGGGAGACACAGGGUGCUUAUUUCCAAAACUCUGGGGUAUUUUUUGCAUUUUCAUCCCAUUUCCCAUUUUUUCCUUGUUUGUUCAAGUUUCCACCUUUUUUGCUCAUGUUAAUUAAUCUCUUACGUAAUAUCCUUUCACUUUUCUAAAAAUAAAAUUAAAUAUGAUGAUUAUGUAUUGCCAUAGAUAUUAUUUUUUGGCUAUAUGAGUCAGUAUACUAUUUUCAAGUCUAGCGUUCAAAGUUUUAAACCUGGUUUUUUUGUAAUAUUGAUUUAAGCAAAUAAAAACGUACCUUAGUAUUGAAAAGUAAAAUAUCAAAAAUAACGAAAUCCAAAGGAAACCCAAAUCCCUCAUCAAAUAGCAAAAUCGAAAGCUCAAACACAUCAAACACAUCGAACAAAUGGAAGACUACUGUCAUAUUCUUGGCAUUUUCCUUUUAUAGAAAAAGUGGAUUAAAUCUGGUUUUGUAGCUAGCUAUACCUCUCACUUGUAAACAGUAGCAUAAAGUUCCAUUAUAUUGACAACAUUGUAUAAACAAACCAAUCAGACAUGAUAGAUAACAUUCUCAAGAAUAGUAAAACAGCAAUCAACAUUGUAUGAUAAUUUUAUUCACAAUGAUAACAAACACAUAUGUCAACAAAAGCACAUAAGCACAAAAUGAAUAUAAAAAAUAAGUAUAUGUGCUUUUAAUACAGAGCGAAGACCCGGAUGAGUAACAAAAUAACUGAAAUUAUAAACAUAAAUAGUGACACCCAUGCAAUAUUAUUAAGUUAAACAGUAUUGAUCUGAUGUAUAGCAUGUAUAAAGUAUUUCUAACAGGAUUACUUUAUUUAUAGUUGCAUGUUUGUGAAAGGGUUUUCCAAAGAAUAGCAAUAAGCGAAAUACAUUUUAUAGUUGUUUGUUACAUAUAUUUUUCUUGUUGUUCAGUUAAGGGUUAUAGUUAUCUGUUCAAUAAAAAUGAAGAUAGUA